GACGAACGCUGGCGGCGAGCCUAAUACAUGCAAGUCGAGCGAACAGAUGGGAGCUUGCUCCCUGAAGUUAGCGGCGGACGGGUGAGUAACACGUGGGCAACCUGCCUAUAAGACUGGGAUAACUUCGGGAAACCGGAGCUAAUACCGGAUAGUUCUUCCCUCCUCAUGGAGGGAAGGGGAAAGAUGGUUUCGGCUAUCACUUAUAGAUGGGCCCGCGGCGCAUUAGCUAGUUGGUAAGGUAACGGCUUACCAAGGCGACGAUGCGUAGCCGACCUGAGAGGGUGAUCGGCCACACUGGGACUGAGACACGGCCCAGACUCCUACGGGAGGCAGCAGUAGGGAAUCUUCCGCAAUGGACGAAAGUCUGACGGAGCAACGCCGCGUGAACGAAGAAGGCCUUCGGGUCGUAAAGUUCUGUUGUUAGGGAAGAACAAGUGUGGGAGUAACUGCCCGCACCUUGACGGUACCUAACCAGAAAGCCACGGCUAACUACGUGCCAGCAGCCGCGGUAAGAC
rnacentral:rRNA from 1 species